UAGGGAAUCUUCGGCAAUGGGGGCAACCCUGACCGAGCAACGCCGCGUGAGUGAAGAAGGUUUUCGGAUCGUAAAGCUCUGUUGUAAGAGAAGAACGUGUGUGAGAGUGGAAAGUUCACACAGUGACGGUAACUUACCAGAAAGGGACGGCUAACUACGUGCCAGCAGCCGCGGUAAUACGUAGGUCCCGAGCGUUGUCCGGAUUUAUUGGGCGUAAAGCGAGCGCAGGCGGUUUAAUAAGUCUGAAGUUAAAGGCAGUGGCUUAACCAUUGUUCGCUUUGGAAACUGUUAAGCUUUAUUGCAGAAGGGGAGAGUGGAAUUCCAUGUGUAGCGGUGAAAUGCGUAGAUAUAUGGAGGAACACCGGUGGCGAAAGCGGCUCUCUGGUCUGUAACUGACGCUGAGGCUCGAAAGCGUGGGGAGCAAACAGG
rnacentral:rRNA from 1 species